rnacentral:rRNA from 1 species
UACGGAGGGUGCAAGCGUUGCUCGGAAUUAUUGGGCGUAAAGGGUAGGUAGGUGGUCUCAUUUGUCUGGGGUGAAAGCCUUGGGCUUAACUCAAGAAGUGCCCCAGAAACGGUGAGACUGGAGUCCUGGAGAGGGUCGUGGAAUUCCCGGUGUAGCGGUGAAAUGCGUAGAGAUCGGGAGGAACACCAGAGGCGAAAGCGGCGACCUGGACAGGCACUGACACUCAACUACGAAAGCGCGGGGAGCAAACAGG